AGAGUUUGAUCCUGGCUCAGAAUCAACGCUGGCGGCGUGCCUAACACAUGCAAGUCGAACGCGAAAGUGGAGCAAUCCAUGAGUAGAGUGGCAAACGGGUGAGUAACGCGUGGGCGACCUACCUUCGAGUGGGGGAUAACAUUCCGAAAGGAGUGCUAAUACCGCAUAACAUCCCGUGUUUAGAUACACGGCGAUCAAAGCCGGGCCGUAAGGUCUGGCGCUUAGAGAGGGGCCCGCGUCCGAUUAGCUAGUUGGUGGGGUAACGGCUCACCAAGGCUCCGAUCGGUAUCCGGCCUGAGAGGGCGGACGGACACACUGGAACUGAGACACGGUCCAGACUCCUACGGGAGGCAGCAGUGGGGAAUUGUUCGCAAUGGGCGCAAGCCUGACGACGCAACGCCGCGUGGAGGAUGAAGACCUUCGGGUCGUAAACUCCUUUCGACCGAGAAGAAUGGCUCCCGACCUCAUACGUCGGGAGCAUGACGGUACCGAGGAGA
rnacentral:rRNA from 1 species